rnacentral:rRNA from 1 species
GACGUAGGGUCCAAGCGUUGUCCGGAUUUACUGGGCGUAAAGAGCGCGUAGGCGGUCUUGUAAGUGUGAAGUGGAAUCUCCAGGGCUCAACCCGGAAACUGCUUUACAUACUGCAAGACUAGAGUGGUGAAGAGGUUUGUGGAAUUCCUGGUGUAACGGUGAAAUGUGUUGAUAUCAGGAGGAACACCCAUGGCGAAGGCAGCAAACUGGUCAUCAACUGACGCUGAGGCGCGAAAGCGUGGGUAGCAAACAGG